AUUGAACGCUGGCGGCAGGCUUAACACAUGCAAGUCGAGCGGGGGAAGGUAGCUUGCUACCGGACCUAGCGGCGGACGGGUGAGUAAUGCUUAGGAAUCUGCCUAUUAGUGGGGGACAACAUCUCGAAAGGGAUGCUAAUACCGCAUACGUCCUACGGGAGAAAGCGGGGGAUCUUCGGACCUUGCGCUAAUAGAUGAGCCUAAGUCGGAUUAGCUAGUUGAUGGGGUAAAGGCCUACCAAGGCGACGAUCUGUAGCGGGUCUGAGAGGAUGCUCCGCCACACUGGGACUGAGACACGGCCCAGACUCCUACGGGAGGCAGCAGUGGGGAAUAUUGGAUAAUGGGGGGAACCCGGAUCCAGCCAUGCCGCGUGUGUGAAGAAGGCCUUAUGGUUGUAAAGCACUUUAAGCGAGGAGGAGGCUACUCUAGUUAAUACCUAGGGAUAGUGGACGUUACUCGCAGAAUAAGCACCGGCUAACUCUGCGCCAGCAGCCGCGGUAA
rnacentral:rRNA from 1 species